AGCUAAGUAUUUUCCAAAUAUUUACUUUUUAAAUGUUGAGUUACGGAAUCUACCUUCAUUUACCUGAAAGAGUGUGUGGGCUGCUUAGGGCUUGCUGAAGAGCGGUUUAUGUUGGAGGGUAGGAAUUGAGGAGAAAAAAUCAAUUAUGGCUGAUGCUUGGCUUCUAGGGACUGUAAACAAUAAAGUGUCAACAAACAUUUAUAGCGGUGAGGUCAGUUUGGUUUCGAACUUAAUUAAUACACAGCUAUGAGAAUGGAAAAAUAAGUUUAUUAAUUCUUAGAAUUUUGAAAAUCCCCUUAGCUGUAGAAGCUCAUGAUGAUUUGAUGGUUUGAUAAAGGGAACCUUCAGGGGAAUUUUCUAUGCGGAGUGUUUAUAAAUUAUUACAUGAAAGUAAUAUUGAACCUAAUUAUUUAAAGACCAAGAUGAAAAUUUUUUACAAAAAAACUAUGGAUCAGUAAUAUUCCAGCCAAAAUUAAGAUUUACAUUUGGAAAAUUUCCUGGAAUUUCAUUCCUAAUCUAGCUAUUUUAUCCACAAAAAGAAUGGCGAUGGAGACUGCGUACCUAAGAUGUGUAGGGGCUACUGAAAAUGUUGAUCACCUUUUGCGAGGCUGUCCUAUUACACGAGAAGUCUAGGUAAGUUUAAAUCUUGAUUGGGUAUUAACAGGAAUAAAUAUGAAUUGCUAGGAAUGGCUUAGCUGGGUGUUUAAAAGCUAUACUGGGUCGCAAUGUUGUUUAUUCUGCUGCUCCUUGUGGGAGAUCUGGACUAACAGAAAUAAGUGGUUAUUUGAGGGGAAGAGAAAUAGGGGUUGUGAUAUUACUGCAUGGGUCUUAAGGUAUGCUAAGAAAAUAGACGAGUGUGAGACUAGUAAAUUGACCAAGGAAACCGUGACUAUGGAAUGGUGCCCUCGAAUAGGUCCGAUAUUAAAUUGAAUUUUGACACGGCAUUUGACUAGGCACAGGCUAAAUCGGCUUCAGGGUUAGUUGCAAGAAAUGCUUCUAGAGAGAUUCUCGCCUCUAAAACUGUGGUACACAGGGCUAUUGCUUCUCCUUUCGCAGUAGAGGCACAUGCGUGUCUCCAAAUAGUUUUAUUGGGGAAAUAAAAGGGAUUUACAUUAGAUCGAAGGGGAUUCAGCUUCAGUUAUAAAGAGAAGUAAGUCAGAUCUGGUAGAUAGAUCGAUGAUAAGGGCUUUAAUAAGGAACUUACAAUGUUAAAAACUAUUCUUCCAUCAGAUAUUAUUUAAACACAUUCCUAGAUCAGCAAAUAUAAUGGCUCAUGAACUAGCCAGAGAAGCGAUGAGAAAUGGGUCACGGACUUACCUUCUCGGAGGACUGCUUGAGCAAAAUGCAACAGAAGAUGGAUCGUGCAGAAGGAGAGAACCAGAUUGAAGAUUGACUGAUGAAGGCGUUUGGGUUUUGGGAAGAGAUAAAUGAAGUAAAUGAUGGUCUACUGGUUUUUGGAAACUACUUCUUGGGGACUGGAACCGUCAAUAAUAAUAAUGAUGACAUUUAUUGGGUGCCAGCUGUGAAUCAGACUGUGGUGUUUUCUUUAUUUUGUUUUGUUUUACUUCUGUUUUUGUUUUUUUUGGUAGGCUUAGUUCAAAGCCCGA
rnacentral:lncRNA from 1 species